rnacentral:misc_RNA from 1 species
GAUGAAGAACGUAGCGAAAUGCGAUAAGUAGUGUGAAUUGCAGAAUUCAGUGAAUCAUCGAAUCUUUGAACGCACAUUGCGCCUGCCAGCACUCUGGCAGGCAUGCCUGUUCGAGCGUCAUUUCAACCAUCAAGCCCUAGGCUUGCGUUGGAGCCCUGCGGCUGCCGCAGGCCCCUAAAAGCAGUGGCGGGCUCGCUAUCACACCGAGUGCAGUAGAUUACUCUUCGCUCAGGGCGUGUGGCGGGUUCCAGCCGUGAAACCCCCUACUUCUCAAGGUUGACCUCGGAUCAGGUAGGAAUACUCGCUGAACUUAAGCAUAUCAAUAAGCGGAGGA